UACGGAGGGUGCGAGCGUUGUCCGGAAUCAUUGGGCGUAAAGGGCGCGUAGGUGGCCUCUUAAGUGUGUGGUGAAAGCCCGGGGCUCAACCCCGGGUCGGCCAUGCAAACUGGGGGGCUUGAGCAUUGUAGAGGCAGGCGGAAUUCCGGGUGUAGCGGUGGAAUGCGUAGAGAUCCGGAAGAACACCGGUGGCGAAGGCGGCCUGCUGGGCAAUUGCUGACACUGAGGCGCGACAGCGUGGGGAGCAAACAGG
rnacentral:rRNA from 1 species